AGUUGCGGGGCCAAGAAGGAGCCGAUGCCCGGCUUUGCUGUUCCUUUACCUCAGCUGUAAGACCAUCUACACCGCUGCCCAGACCAGGACUGUGAAUCUAACAUUUGGCAAUGAGGGAACAACUAUACUUCAGUGUCCCUGUAUCUGGGGACAGGACUGAAAUAAAGAAAGGAACAUGCAUCCUAGCUCACGACUGAACCCGGGAAAGGUUUGUCCUCUGAGAACAAUGAGAGGCGCGGGGAGGAGCCAGAGUUUCAAAGAAAAAGACUACGGGGUGAUACACAGUGUUACGGUUUGAGGGUGAAGUGUUCCCCAAAGACUCACGUGGCAAAGGCUUGGUGAUCUGUCAGUGGGUUUGGAGGAAAUGAACGGACUACAGGGUUCAAGCUCCUGAGUGGAUCCAGAAAUUGGUGGAUUAUAUAAA
rnacentral:lncRNA from 1 species